AAAAAAGGGGAGGUAAUAGACCCAUUCAUCAAGAUAGAAAUUCAUGGCCUUCAACGAGAUACACAGGACAAGAAGACAUCUGUUGUGAAGAAUAAUGGCUUCAAGCCGAUUUGGAAUGAGACCCUGAUGUUUGAAGUGGAUGUUCCCGAGCUAGCCCUGGCCCGACUAACAGUAUGGGACAGUGAUCGCUACGUCGAUGAUUUCAUUGGAUACUUUGUGGUACCAGUGAACAGCAUUGUUGAAGGAUACCGCCAUUUUCCACUGUUCGACAAAAACGGGA